CCCCACAUACACUUUCCUGUGCAGAUUCUGACGGGGACAUGGAGCUGCUGCAGCUCCUCUCUCUGCUAAUGGGGCUGCUAGCCAUUGCCCUCUCAGGUGCAGGAGGCAGAUUAGUGGAGCAGUCAUCCCCAUAUUUAAUGGUGCAGUUGGGAGCAUCGGAAUCAGUGACCUGCACCUUGAAGGACACAACCUACCCCUGGAUGAGCUGGUAUCUGCAGGAUGUCCAAAACCAGCUGCACUUCCUGGUGCAAUCAGGAACCAAGGGUGGCCCUGAGGAAAUAUCCUUGAUGGAAACAUCCUACAGGUCUGAGCGGGUCAGUAACACGGAGCUCAGGUUGGAGAUAAAGAAUGUGACUCAGUCCCAGACCAUCUACUGCACCUGCAGCACAGGGCACAGGUUCGGCUCCCUCUAA